GCAAGUCGAGGGGCAGCGGAGAGGUAUCAAUACCUUUGCCGGCGACCGGCGCACGGGUGAGUAACACGUAUGCAAUCCACCUGUAACAGGGGGAUAACCCGGAGAAAUCCGGACUAAUACCCCAUAAUAUGGGCGCUCCGCAUGGAGAGCCCAUUAAAGAGAGCAAUUUUGGUUACAGACGAGCAUGCGCUCCAUUAGCCAGUUGGCGGGGUAACGGCCCACCAAGGCGACGAUGGAUAGGGGUUCUGAGAGGAAGGUCCCCCACAUUGGAACUGAGACACGGUCCAAACUCCUACGGGAGGCAGCAGUGAGGAAUAUUGGUCAAUGGUCGGCAGACUGAACCAGCCAAGUCGCGUGAGGGAAGACGGCCCUACGGGUUGUAAACCUCUUUUGUCGGAGAGUAAAGUACGCUACGCGUAGCGUAUUGCAAGUAUCCGAAGAAAAAGCAUCGGCUAACUCCGUGCCAGCAGCCGCGGUAAUACGGAGGAUGCGAGCGUUAUCCGGAUUUAUUGGGUUUAAAGGGUGCGUAGGCGGCACGCCAAGUCAGCGGUGAAAUUUCCGGGCUCAACCCGGAGUGUGCCGUUGAAACUGGCGAGCUAGAGUGCACAAGAGGCAGGCGGAAUGCGUGGUGUAGCGGUGAAAUGCAUAGAUAUCACGCAGAACCCCGAUUGCGAAGGCAGCCUGCUAGGGUGCGACAGACGCUGAGGCACGAAAG
rnacentral:rRNA from 1 species